rnacentral:snRNA from 1 species
UUGCUUUGGCAGCACAUAUACUAAAAUUGGAACGACACAGAGAAGAUCAGCAUGGCCCCUGCACAAGGAUGACAUAUAAAUUCAUGAAGCGUUCCAUAUUUUU